rnacentral:rRNA from 1 species
AUUGAACGCUGGCGGCAUGCUUUACACAUGCAAGUCGAACGGCAGCGGGGAGGAGCUUGCUUCUCUGCCGGCGAGUGGCGAACGGGUGAGUAAUACAUCGGAACGUGUCGAGAAGAGGGGGAUAACCACCCGAAGGGGUGGCUAAUACCGCAUAAAUUCUGAGGAAGAAAGCUGGGGACCUAGGAAUAGGCCUAGCGCUUUUUGAGCGGCCGAUGUCGGAUUAGCUAGUUGGUGAGGUAAAGGCUCACCAAGGCGAAGAUCUGUAGCGGGUCUGAGAGGAUGAUCCGCCACACUGGGACUGAGACACGGCCCAGACUCCUACGGGAGGCAGCAGUGGGGAAUUUUGGACAAUGGGGGCGACCCUGAUCCAGCCAUGCCGCGUGUAUGAAGAAGGCCUUAGGGUUGUAAAGUACUUUUGUUAGGGAAGAAAAGUCAGCUGUGAAUAAUGGCUGAUACUGACGGUACCUAAAGAAUAAGCACCGGCUAACUACGUG